UGACUCAUCUGAAGCCUGAAGACACUAAGCAGAUGGCCCGAGCCACAGAGGAUUUCACAGAAGGGCCCGGAUGAGAAGAGGACAGAUGCAGGGUACUGAUCACUGCACUAGAAUAUGUGCAACCUUCCACGCUGCCUUGGGGAUUCUAUUCCUGCCUAUUGUCCUUGGCUUCUUCCCCUUGUCCACUUCUGAACCCAUAAGCACGAAUUUCCUCUCCUCUCCCCAUUCCUAAUUAUCCCCAUCUCACGUGGGUGGCAGAAAGUCUUCACAUUUUCCAGGCUUCAUGGCUUAGAACUCCUUAGGGAAUGGUACCAGUCUCUAUAUCCAGGAUAAGUAGGUAUGCAGUUAUUUUGUAAGACCAGGACAUUUGUGGAAGAGAGAAACCACGUGAGCAAAGGCAGGCAGGUGUGGAGUAUGCACACCAGUGAAUCUAAGACUGUGCAAACU
rnacentral:lncRNA from 1 species